GACGAACGCUGGCGGCGUGCCUAAUACAUGCAAGUCGAACGCAGUGGGGACGGGUGAGUAACACGUGGGUAACCUCCCAUCAGAGGGGAUAACACUUGGAAACAGGUGCUAAACCCAUACGGAUGGAUGGACCCGCGGUGCAUUAGCUAGUUGGUGGGGUAACGGCUCACCAAGGCCAAGAUGCAUAGCAGAUCUGAGAGGGUGAUCGGCCACACUGGGACUGAGACACGGCCCAGACGCCUACGGGAGGCAGCAGUAGUGAAUCUUCGGCAAUGGACGAAAGCCUGACCCAGCAACGCCGCGUGAGUGAAGAAGGUUUUCGGAUCGUAAAACUCUGGUGUUAGAGAAGCGGUAUCUAACCAGAAAGCCACGGCUAACUACGUGCCAGCAGCCGCGGUAAUUC
rnacentral:rRNA from 1 species